UCAGCCUCUCAAAAAGACUGGUAAGCUCUCUCUCUCAUGUUAAACUUGGUGACAUUGUGGAUUAUUUUUUCUUCUUUCAGGAUUAGCAGGAUGUUGAUUUUGGGAUUAGAGAGGGUGUUAAUUUUAGGACAUAGAUUUUGGGAUUGGAGAAGAUUGCAAGGGAGCCGGAUGAGACUGGGGGUUCACCUAGGGUACUUGACGCUGAGAAGUCGUUUUAUUAUCACGGGGAGUGCUUGAGGCAGGCAUUGGCUGAUGAUUUGCACCAAAGGCUUUCUACAAAAUAGGACAUAAAGUCUUUGAGGAAUGGAUGACUAUCAGCACUGAACACCUUUGCUUCUCUGGUUGAGUUUCCUUGGCUUUCUGCAAGUAUAAGCUGAGAUAUAGGAUUGGUGGCAAAACGAUAGCUUUUGUGGACUACUUGAACUCAAAUAUUUUCUAUAAAGUUUGGAAGCUAAG